UUCGGUUUUGUCCAUAUUUCCUCUCAGGGGAAAUUGUUACUUACAUGUCAGGAAAAAUCUAGUCCCUUAAAGUCGYGGAGGCCUGUUUGUGUCUAGCCGUGUAUCUUUUUGUCUGUUUCUAUAAACAGUUUAGUGCUGUGCUCUGUGGCGGGCCAUUGUAGUCAAUGGGAAGUUGAUAAGGGCUGUUUGGUGUUUAAUGUCAAUAAUAUCUUCGGUAAUCCUCUGUUUUGAGAUCCUGCUGUGACCCCGGCAGGAAUCUUAAAAGCGAAGACUUGAAAAACAUAUGACUAUUUAACRUAGAAUCUUUUAAUAUUUGAAUGAGUCCAUCUAUACCUUAUUUUGUARCUGGGGUCGUAUGUAGAGGAAAGACAAUAACUGCCCACUUUACUGUUUUCUAGGGUAUUCACAGUUAAUUCCCAUGUCAGCAGAAAGCUCAACCAUUACCGUUCGUCUUGUUCGCUCUUUUGAGCACCGGAAUUUCAGGCCGGUGGUGUAUCAUGGCGUUGACUUGGAUCAGACAGUAAAGCAGUUCAUCACCUUUGUGCAGAAGGAUGUACCUUCAAGAACAGGACUUCCUCCUCCUUUUAAAAAUUACAAAUAUGAUACAAUGAAGAUUAUUCACCAAGCACACAAGUCUAAGACGAAUGAACUUGUAGUGAGCUUGGAAGAUGAUGACAGACUCAUUUUGAAAGAAGAAAGCACGCUGAAGGCAGCUGGAGUAGCAAACGAAACUGAAUUAGCAUUCUUCUGUGAGGAAGAUUACAGAAACUACAAAGCUAAUCCUGUUUCGGCCUGGUGAAGAUCCCGAGAGAUUGUUUUGUUUUCCUAUACCUGGUGUAAAUUCUCCUUAUUCUGCUUAAUGAGAUUUUUUUUAAAGAUCAAUAAAUCCUAGAGGAUUGCUUUACAAACACUGCGAUUCCCUUUCCGUGGAAAUUAAUUUCUGUCAGACUAAGACUGAGAGAAGGAAAAUUGGGAGACCAAGGCGCAAUUUUUAUUGUACUUCUCACAUUUCUUUUUCCUUCCCUUGCCUGUUAAAACGUAGGUGGUGUAAAUGAUCUCUGACCUGUGACAUGCAUUCUCGGCGUGAUCCUACAGCAGACAGUAGGAGAUUAUACGAGGCAGAAUAAAAUCCCAUUGCAGCAUUGUCUUCUAAUAAAAAUGGAAACUUUCUUACGACCAGAUCAGUGGAUCAAGCUUGGAGAGCUUGACAAGAGAAUCUCUGUGUUUCAACCCUCUUUUGCAUGCUGCAGCAGACAGGACUGUUGGGAGGCUUUUGUGCUCCAGGACCAGCUCGCCCCUUUCUCGCACUAUUCCUUCGCAUAAGAGACARCGACUUGAGUUCUUGC